rnacentral:lncRNA from 1 species
GCACCUCCCCCACCUCCACCUCCAACCCCACUCUACCCUGACCUCUCUGAAAUUCCGGGACCAGAUCUGUCCCCACCUUCUCCUGCAUGUUUAACACUCACUUAACAGAAGGCAGUUGGGAAUCUGACUUCAAAGACCCCACCCACGGAAGAUUACCCGACAGCCCCAAUGCAGCAUCUCAUCUGGAAGAUGUGGAAAAGGGGAACUCCGCAGGGACUUCUCUCAUGAUAACCCCAUUUUGGGAACAGCCAAUAACAGAUUGACUUUUGUGGCCUCUAAACUCAACUUUGGCAAUGUGUACCUGCUGCUGAAGUUAAUGACUUGUGUAAGCAUCCCAUGUCUCAGAAGACUUUCUGAGUGCUACCAGUCACUUGAGGGACAUUGAAUCUUGGAGGAAUACUGAACAUCUAAGUCCCGGAUGAUACUAAUAAACUAAUAAUUGCAGAGGUUUUUUUUAAAACAAAAAACCAAACAAGAGUCACCUUUGCUCCAGUUCCCAGCAAGUUCCUCCUCUCCAUCUGAGACCAUCUCAGCCUGGACUUUAUUGUUCAUAUCACUAUCAGCAUUUUUGUCAAAGCCAUUCAACAAGUCUCUAGGAAGUUCCAAAGUUUCCUACAUUUUCCUUUCUUCUUCUGAGCCCUCCAAACUGUUCUAACCUCUGACGUUUCCACAGUUCCAAAGUCACUUCUACAUUUUUUGAUAUCUUUUCACCAGCUCCCCACUCUACUGGUACCAAUUUACUGUAUUGAUUUUCAUGCUGCUGAUAAAGACAUACCAGAGACCUGGCAAUUUACAAAGGAAAGAGGUUUAAUGGAGAACUCACAGUUCCUUGUGGCUGGGGAAGCCUCACAAUCAUGGUGGAAGAUAAAGAAGAGCAAAUCACAUCUUACGUGCAUGGCAGCAAGCAGAGAGAGAGCUUGUGCAGGGAAGCUCCGCCUUAUAAAACCAUCAGAUCUCAUGAGACUUAUUCACUAUCAGGAGAACAGCAUGGGAAAGACCUGCCCCCAUGGUUCAAUUACCUCCCACUGAGUCCCUCCCACAACAUGUGGAAAUUCAAGAUGAGAUUUGGAUGGCGACACAGCCAAACCAUAUCAGAGGACUUUUAAGGUCGUGAAUGUGAAUGCAAAUUUUAUUUUCCACUUGUUUUGGUCAAUGUCUCCAUUUGUGUUGUUUUCUGUGUAUAAUUCUCUGUGAAUUCCUCAUCAUCCUUACCUCUGACAGGGGAGGGAGAAAGGAGAAGGGAAACAUAGAUUUUCAUAUGUUUCUUGGAGAGGAAACAGAGAAAAAAAGGAAAAAAAAAGGACAAAAAGGAUAUAUUAUUCAUUUGUCCCUGUCCUACUACCUUCCUCCUGUCUCCAGCCUCUGAAAUGGGAGAGGAAGGGGGCAUUGUAGAAUAACAAUAUUCAAAGAUUUUUCUAUUCUCAAGAAUAUCUAGAAAAGAUUUCUUUCACAUAGCAAGGUUCUCUUGUGUAUGGGCCACUGCACGUGUCCAUUCCUAUAAAAGAAUAGUCAAGAAGAGAGUGGGAGCUGGGAGCAGUGGCUCAUGCCUGUAAUCCCAGCACUUUGGGAGGCCAAGGCAGGAGGAUUGCUUGAGCCCAGGUGUUUGAGACUGCAUGGCCAACAUGGUGAGACCCCAUCGCUAAAAAAUAUAAAAAGCUAGCUGGGUGUGGUGGUGUGCACCUGUGUUCCCAGCUACUUGGGAGGCUGAGGUGGGAGAAUCACCUGAGCUUAGGAAGUCCAGGCUGCAGUGAGCCAUGAUCAUGCCACUGCACUCCAGCCUGGGCAACAAAGUGAGACCCUGUCUCAAAAACAAACAAACAGACAAAAAACCAAACAGGAGACUGGGGAAGGGGGUUGGUGGUUCUCAGUGUCCAUGUGGGCAGGCAUUUGGCCCAAGCUGAAAAUGUGGCUUGAUAUUUUUUAGGUUCCCUAAGAUACUUGGAUAUAAGUAUUGCAAACUAAAAUUUUAUACUUGUGAAUCUUUACACAAAGUAUCCUCCCCCACCUCCAGAUUUACUUGAAGUGGGGAGUGAGUAUAGGGAGAAAAUAAAUACAGCCAGGUGUCAUUAAUAUUGCCAGUUUAGUAUCUCAUCUACAGAGCCCAGGGCUAGGCUGGAGAGAUAAGAGAAAAUAGGUAGGAAAUACUUUCUGACUACUAACUGAUGUUUUGUGUCUUACCUUGAAUUGAAUGUGUUUCAGAAGGUCAAAGUGGUUUGCAUACAUUUUGAGAUAUUCCAGGAAUUGAGAAUUUGGCACAUAGUUUGGAUAAUCUUCUGGGAAUGGAAAGUCUGAGUAACAAGACAUCUCCUUGCAGCUGUUGGAAACCACAGACUUGUAGAGACUGGCUCUGCCUUCUUCAACAUGUUCCUGUACAAACAGUGCACACACAUGAACAUUCAUUGCAUGCUCAUAAAUAAGCCUGGGAAGAACUCACCGGUCCAGAUGCACACAGUAUCAUUGCCAAGCACAGGAGAAUAUAGAAAUACAUGAGAAUCAGGAAGUAGUAUUUAUUUGAAUGAUGGACAAUUGCUAGGUAAUUUGGUUUUAUGGGGUAUUCUGGAAAUGAUUAUGGAGAAGAUGGUUCAGAGUAUGAAGGAUCUUGUAUCCAAAGUUAAGGAAUUUGGAUUUUACAGGAAGGUUAUGCCAAUCUACUGAACGUUCUAAAUAUAGAAGUGAUUCAUAUCACUUCUAAAUUUUGGAAAGAUAACUCUCGUUCUACAAAAGGUGAAUUAGAGGGAGCUGGGAAGGAAGGAAGGGGGCGCUAGCCAGGAGCCUAAUACACAAAUCCACUUGAUUGCUAAUGAGGGCAUGAGCAGAGGCAAUGAUAGCUGGAACCCAGAAGGGUGAGAUUUGUGAGAUGGCGGUAAGGUAGAACACAUAGGAUUGCAAAACCAAUUAGAUUUAGGGGUUGAGAGAGGAAGCAGUCAAAGGUUUCCAGAUUGGACAACUGUGUGUGGCAAAGCACUAACAAAUUUCCCACCCUCAGUUUUUACUCAAAUAACUAGCAAAUACCAAUAUCUCAUAAGACUACUGCAAAGUUGAAUGAUAAACAGUUUUAGUAAUGUCUUUAAUAUACAUUGCCUCUGUCUUUUGGGGAGUAGUAUGGAGGAUUAUUCUAAUUUCAGUGGCAAGGUUCUUGUAUUUUAACAUUAUUUACCAUCUUGCAUAUGUAUAGUUCAUUUUUCCUGUGAAAUAAAAAUUAUUUAAUUUAUGUGAACAAGUAGAAACAUGAACAUAAAUCUCACAUAUGGAGAGGGCUUUCUCUGUUUCUGCAAAGGAUGUGAAUUGAUAUCAUAUAUAGAUUCCUGUAUCUGUCUGAAAUACACAGCAAUCACAGAUAACAAAAUUAUAAACAUAUCUCUGUGGUUUAAAUUAAUGUUAUUUAUCUCAUUGACUGAUAAGAGUUGAUUACAACCUGCUUGUCUGUGGCCCACCUGUCACACAGACUCAGCUAAAAUGCUUGCGAAAGAUGACUAUUUAAAUCUUGAUAUUUUAUUCAGCUGGAAUAUCUAAUGCAGUGUUAUUCAAACAUAGUCUGCAGAGCAAUACUGAUAUGAAUGGUUUGUUACUAGUCUGUUACAGGAUAAAUACAGAAAUCAAGAGUAAGCAUUUAGAAACUUUUAUAGCAAUAAUUUGACAUUGCUCAAUAUGUAAGCAUGUGGACACCAUUUUGUUGAACAGGAUAUAAAUCAGUCUUGUUUUUGUCUAACUUGUGUGAUGAGUUUGAGUUGUGUACUAGUCAUAUGCCAUAGGACUGUAUUAUCAUGUGCGAUGUUUUAAGGUUAUUUUGAAAACUGUUAUCCAAAAGUGCAUAAAAUCUGGAAUCAUUUUCUUUCAUUGAAAGAUUAUUUAUAUUUAAUCUUACAGUAUAAGUUAUUUGAACUGGCUACGGAUAAAAGACUGAAGAUACAUUAAAAAAAUGUAGCACUAUCAGCUUCAUUUUGGAUAGCAGUUAAAAAAUAUACACUGAACUUGCUGAGACUGGUUUAAAAAUCUCUUCCUCAUUUCAAUCAACAUACCUCUGUGAGCCUCCUUUCUCUACUUUGACUGCUGUUAAGCAAUGUUUAGAAAUAGUUUAGAUACACAUUAUCCCCUGCAAAGAGCAUUGCCAUCCAUUCAAACCAGAUUAGGUAAAUUGACAACCAGGAAGCAAGAUUAAUUGUCAUAUUAAAAACCUUAAAUAGUAAUAUAAAAAAAUGUGUAUUUAAAAUGUGUCUACGAGUGUUUAACAUGGAGAACUGCAAUUUCAUACAAAAUAUUUGUGUGGCAAAAAGUUACAAAGGUAAUGAUGACUCUCUGUGUCAAUUGCCUAUGUACCCACUUUCAAAG